AUUCUGGUGAUCCUGCCAGUAGUUAUAUGCUUGUCUCAAAGAUUAAGCCAUGCAUGUCUAAGUACACACGAAUUAAAAGUGAAACCGCAAAAGGCUCAUUAUAUCAGUUAUGGUUCCUUAGAUCGUUAACAGUUACUUGGAUAACUGUGGUAAUUCUAGAGCUAAUACAUGCAAUUAAAACACGGACCUUUUGGAACGUGUGCUUUUAUUAGGCUAAAACCAAGCGAUCGCAAGAUCGUUACAAUGGUUGAACUCUAGAUAACAUGCAGAUCGUAUGGUCUUGUACCGACGACAGAU
rnacentral:rRNA from 1 species